rnacentral:rRNA from 1 species
GAUACGCGAGGAACCUUACCUGGGCUCAAAUGUAUGUUUGACGUAUUCUGAAAGGGAUACUUCUUCGGACAAUAUACAAGGUGCUGCAUGGUGUCGUCAGCUCGUGCCGUGAGGUGUCGGGUUAAGUCCCAUAACGAGCGCAACCCUAUCAUUAGUUGCCAUCAGGUCAAGCUGGGGACUCUAAUGAAACUGCCUACGCAAGUAGUGAGGAAGGUGGGGAUGACGUCAAAUCAGCACGGCCCUUACGUCCAGGGCUACACACGUGCUACAAUGGCCGGUACAAAGGGCAGCUACCUGGUGACAGGAUGCUAAUCUCAAAAGCCGGUCUCAGUUCGGAUCGGAGUCUGCAACCCGACUCCGUGAAGUUGGAAUCGCUAGUAAUCGCGCAUCAGCCAUGGCGCGGUGAAUACGUUCCCGGGCCUU